rnacentral:misc_RNA from 1 species
AAUUCGGCGAAUGGCACGGGUUUGUCGUCUUUUGUUAUAAAUAUAACAGUUUAUUAUAUUUAAAUUUAAUGUUUGGUGCAUUAUACGAUUAAACAUUAGUUUUCCAAUGGUUUUCCGUGAAUUACGUGUGUGUUUCUCACGUUAGCAAUGUUUGAACGAACUAGAAAUGGAUUUUGUGUUUCUAAUACUUGGUAUUGAAGAUCCAUUGUCUUCCAGAGAACAUUCGAUGUUGAUCUGAUUUCCUUCGACUUACCUACCUACAUUCUGGUGGAGUGGAUAUCAUCAGCAACCCCCUAACUCUGUGAAUUACAGGAAGGUGUUUAUUCCAGUCGCCAACGCUCGAUGGUCUUCAACAACGUUUUUUCCAUCUACUGUAUGUCACUCUCUGUCUCCCUCUCACCUUAUCAAAGGUACCUACAGCAUAAUCACGUCCUCGCGUGGAUGGGAACUGGAUGAUCAAGUCAACAGGAAGCAGUACAGCUGCUAUUCUCUCUGAUGGACGAAUAGAAGUGACGACGAGGGUCAUCUGUAGGCGCCGAAGACCAUUCCAGGGACUCCGGACGACCCUGGAACGGUCGUCGUCGUUGGGAGAUGGCUCAUGCCGUAGGGGGAUGACCAUAGGGAGUUAUUCCAUCGGCCUGGGGAUGGUCCUGCUCGACAGGAUCAUCUCUAGACAGAUGAAAACUCCCAGAGGUUAGUCAUCCUCCUGCGACAAGAGGCAUCAUCGCCAGCGACGAAGAUCGUUCAGGGUGGAAGACGACGAGGGACCUCUGUCGGCGUCGAAGGCCAUUCCACGGGCCCCGGACGGCUGUGGAACGGUUUUCGUCGCUGGGAGAUGGCUCUUGUCGUAGCGGGAUAGACCAAUCUAUCCCUCUGCGGCAGGAGGCAUCAUCCCGGCGACGAAGAUCGUUCGGGGCGGCGAGGGUCGUCUGUCGGCGUCGAAGACCCUUCCACGGGCCCCCGACGACCGUGGAACGGUCUUCGUCGCUGGGAGAUGGCUCUUGUCGUAGGGGGAUAGACCAAUCUAUCCCCCUGCGGCAGGAGGCAUCAUCCCGGCGACGAAGAUCGUUCCUGUCAGCGGGGGAGGGGAGAACGGUCUUCGUCGCUGGGAGAUGGCUCUUGUCGUAGGGGGAUGGACAUCAAUCCAUCCCCCUGCGGCAGGAGGCAUCACCCCAGCGACGAAGAA